rnacentral:rRNA from 1 species
UACGAAGGGGGCUAGCGUUGCUCGGAAUCACUGGGCGUAAAGCGCACGUAGGCGGAUUGUUAAGUCAGGGGUGAAAUCCUGGAGCUCAACUCCAGAACUGCCUUGAUACUGGCGAUCUCGAGUCCGGGAGAGGUGAGUGGAACUGCGAGUGUAGAGGUGAAAUUCGUAGAUAUUCGCAAGAACACCAGUGGCGAAGGCGGCUCACUGGCCCGGUACUGACGCUGAGGUGCGAAAGCGUGGGAGCAACAGGG